CAGUCGCCGCGGUAAUACAGAGGGUGCAAGCGUUAAUCGGAAUUACUGGGCGUAAAGCGCGCGUAGGUGGUUUGUUAAGUUGGAUGUGAAAUCCCCGGGCUCAACCUGGGAACUGCAUCCAUAACUGCCUGACUAGAGUACGGUAGAGGGUGGUGGAAUUUCCUGUGUAGCGGUGAAAUGCGUAGAUAUAGGAAGGAACACCAGUGGCGAAGGCGACCACCUGGACUGAUACUGACACUGAGGUGCGAAAGCGUGGGGAGCAAACAGGAUUAGAUACCCCCGUAGUCCCUGUCUCUUAUAC
rnacentral:rRNA from 1 species